rnacentral:tRNA from 1 species
CCCUGUGUGGCUCAGUUGGUAGAGCAUGGCGCUUGCAACGCCAGGGUUCGAUUCCCACAGGGG